rnacentral:rRNA from 1 species
UCUGAAAGUAAGUAGCAUCCGGUGGAUGCCUUGGCCUGUAUUAAGAAGAUGGACUUGUGGAUACCAUGAAACAAGUCUAAAACGUUUAUUCCAUGUCCAAUGGAUAACCAAGUAAACGUUGGGAACUGAAACAUCUUAGUACCAAUAGGAAGAAGAGAAUAUUAUGAUUUCGUGAGUAGCAGCGAGUGAAACCGAACUAGGCAACCCAAGGAUAUAAGUGUGGUCGUUUGGAACAACGAGCUAACUAGUGAUAGCCUAGAUAACACUAAUUAUAUCCCUAAUGAUAAAGUAGAACGAGACACAAUGGAUCUCGUCCGAAGAUAGGAGGACCACCUUCUAAGCCUAAAUAUUAAUACAAGACCGAUAGUGAACUAGUACCGUGAGGGAAAGGUGAAACAGAUAUUCGAACAGAAUAGUGAAACAGAUCCUGAAACCGGAUGUCAAAUCAGUCGGAAGGUUCAAAGACCUGACGACGUACCUUUUGUAUAAUGGGUCAACGAGUUGAUGUUGUUAGCAAAGCUAUAGGUAAUAUAAAGCGAAGCGAAAGCAAGUCCUCAAAGGGCAACAACAAGUUAACAGCAUCAAACCCGAAACCGAGUGAUCUAACCAUGGACAGAUUGAAGGAUAAUAAACAUUAUCCGAAGGAUCGAACCCGUACGUGUUGCAAAACGUUGGGAUGAUCUGUGGUUAGGGGUGAAAGGCCAAUCAAACUCGGAGAUAGCUGGUUCUCUGCGAAAUCUAUUUAAGUAGAGUAUCCAAUGUAUACAUGUUGUGGUAAAGCACUGGAUAGGUUGAGGGCUCACAAGGGCCCGAGACUUAACUAAACUCUGAAUACGAUAUGAUAUUAUUGAAUAAACACACCAUGAGCUUAACGUCCAUGGUGGAAAGGGAAACAACCCAGACCUUGUCAUAAGGUCCUUAAAUCUGAUCUAAGUGUAAUCAAAGGAUGAAUGGUCCAUCGACAAUUAGGAUGUAGGCUUAGAAGCGGCCAUCAUCUAAGGAAAGCGUAACAGCUCACUAAUAUUAGAACCAUUUGUCCGAAAAUGUAACGGGACUAAGAUUCAGUACCGAAGCCAAGGGCAUUGCUAAUCGAACAAUGCGGUAGCAGAGCAUUCCGUAAGCCAUGGAAGACAACCUGUGAGGGUUGUUGGAGGUAUCGGAAGUGAGAAUGUUGACAUGAGUAACGAUAAUUGAAAGAAAGAACCUUUCACACCGAAUAACUAAGGGUUCCUAUUUAAAGUCAAUCUGAAUAGGGUUAGCCGGCACCUAAGGCCAAGCGCAAGCGCAUAACCGAUGGUAAUCACGUUAAUAUUCGUGAGCCUAUCUUGGAUGACCCAGGUAACUUGUUGUCUGAUCUACAGAUGGUUGGAUAUGGCUUGGAGUUACCUGGCAGGAAAAAGUCCAUGAUUUUAUGGCCGUACCAAGAACUGACACAGGUGGUUGGGUAGAGUAUACUAAGGUGAAUGAGAUAAUUGUGUUGAAGGAACUCGGCAAAUUGCAUGUGUAACUUCGGAAGAAACAUGGUCUGUUCUAUGGGUAACCAUAAUCAGAAUAAGAAAAUAAGGGGAAGCGACUGUUUAUCAAAAACACAAGACUCUGCAAAAUCGUAAGAUGAAGUAUAGAGUCUGACGUCUGCCCGGUGCUGACAAGUGAAACCCAGAUGUUUUAAAAGCAUAUGGCCUAAGCACCAGUAAACGGCGGCCGUAACUAUAACGGUCCAAAGGUAGCGAAACCCCUUGUCGGGUAAGUUCCGACCAGCAUGAAUGACGUAACGACUUCCCCGCUGUCUCCAGCACAAGCUCAGUGAAAUUGAAAUCCCCGUGAAGAUGCGGGGUAUCUGCGGCAAGACGGAAAGACCCCGUGCACCUUUACUAUAACCUUGUACUGAUGAAAUCAGAAUUACCGCACAGAGUAAAUGUACUGGCGAUGACCCUCUUGUUCAGGCAAGGGUCGAGCCUUCAAUGAAACAUCAUUCGGUAACAUGACAACAUCUAAUUGCAUCAGGUCAAUCCUGAUCCAAGACCAUGCAAGGUGGGUAGUUUGACUGGGACGGUCACCUCCUAAAAGGUAACAGAGGUGUGCACAAGGUAGGCUCAUGACGUUUGGAAAUCGUCAGUAGAGUACAAUGGCAUAUGCCUGCUUAAGACUGCGAGACAGACAUGUUGAGCAGAGACGAAAGUCGGUCAUAGUGAUCCAAUGGAUCUAAGUGGAAGGGCCAUUGCUCAACGGAUAAAAGGUACGCCGGGGAUAACAGGCUAAUAACCCCUAAGAGCUCUUAUCGACGGGGUUGCUUGGCACCUCGAUGUCGACUCAUCGCAUCCUGGGGCUGAACAAGGUCCCAAGGGUAUGGCUGUUCGCCAUUUAAAGCGGUACGUGAGUUGGGUUCAGAACGUCGCAAGACAGUUCGGUCCCUAUCUACCGCAGACAUAAGAAAGUUGACAGGACCUGUCUCUAGUACGAGAGGACCGAGAUGGACAUACCUCUGGUCUUCCUGUUGUUCGAACCGAAGGGCAUAGCAGGGUAGCUAAGUAUGGAACAGAUAACAGCUGAAUGCAUCUAAGCUGGAAGCUGACCUGGAGAUACUUUCUAUUAAGAACAAUGAUAGAUCAUCAUUUAAUAGACCAAGUGUGUAAUCAUGGUAACAUGUUAAGCUAAUUGGAUCUAAGUUCGAAAUUUACAGAUG